rnacentral:rRNA from 1 species
AGUGAACGCUGGCGGUAGGCCUAACACAUGCAAGUCGAACGGCAGCACAGUAAUAUCUUGCUUGUACGGGUGGCGAGUGGCGGACGGGUGAGGAAUACAUCGGAAUCUACUUUUUCGUGGGCGAUAACGUAGGGGAACUUAUGCUAAUACCGCAUACGACCUACGGGUGAAAGCAUGGGAUCUUCGGACCUUUCGCGAUUGAAUCAGCCGAUGUCGGAUUAGCUAGUUGGCGGGGUAAAGGCCCACCAAGGCGACGAUCCGUAGCUGGUCUGAGAGAAUGAUCGGCCACACUGGAACUGAGACACGGUCCAGACUCCUACGGGAGGCAGCAGUGGGGAAUAUUGGGCAAUGGGCGCAAGCCUGAUCCAGCGAUACCGCGUGGGUGAAGAAGGCCUUCGGGUUGUAAAGCCCUUUUGUUGGGAAAGAAAAGCAGCAGGUUAAUACCCCGCUGUUCUGACGGUACCCAAUGAAUAAGCACCGGCUAACUUCGUG